UCAUCACCAUCAUCACCCAGUCUAGUCUUUCGGGAGAUGUGCGCAUACCCGGGAGACAGGAUACUCCCGGAGGUUAAAAUCAAAGAAAUUCAGAUUUAAAACCCUCGGGAGAAAACAUUCUUCCGAGGGUUUUUUCGU
rnacentral:sRNA from 1 species